rnacentral:rRNA from 1 species
AUUGUACGCUGGCGGCAGGCCUAACACAUGCAAGUCGAGCAGAUGAAGGGAGCUUGCUCCUGGAUUCAGCGGCGGACGGGUGAGUAAUGCCUAGGAAUCUGCCUGGUAGUGGGGGAUAACGUCCGGAAACGGGCGCUAAUACCGCAUACGUCCUGAGGGAGAAAGUGGGGGAUCUUCGGACCUCACGCUAUCAGAUGAGCCUAGGUCGGAUUAGCUAGUUGGUGGGGUAAAGGCCUACCAAGGCGACGAUCCGUAACUGGUCUGAGAGGAUGAUCAGUCACACUGGAACUGAGACACGGUCCAGACUCCUACGGGAGGCAGCAGUGGGGAAUAUUGGACAAUGGGCGAAAGCCUGAUCCAGCCAUGCCGCGUGUGUGAAGAAGGUCUUCGGAUUGUAAAGCACUUUAAGUUGGGAGGAAGGGCAGUAAGUUAAUACCUUGCUGUUUUGACGUUACCAACAGAAUAAGCACCGGCUAACUUCGUG